rnacentral:rRNA from 1 species
GUGGGGAAUAUUGGACAAUGGGCGAAAGCCUGAUCCAGCAAUGCCGCGUGUGUGAAGAAGGCCCUCGGGUCGUAAAGCACUUUCAGUGGGGAGGAAAGACACUGUGUUAAUAACAUAGUGGGUUGACGUUACCCACAGAAGAAGCACCGGCUAACUCUGUGCCAGCAGCCGCGGUAAUACAGAGGGUGCAAGCGUUAAUCGGAAUUACUGGGCGUAAAGAGCACGUAGGUGGUUAUUUAAGUCAGAUGUGAAAGCCCCGGGCUUAACCUGGGAAUGCCAUUUGAGACUGGAUAACUAGAGUACAGGAGAGGGAAGUGGAAUUUCCGGUGUAGCGGUGAAAUGCGUAGAUAUCGGAAGGAACACCAGUGGCGAAGGCGGCUUCCUGGCCUGAUACUGACACUGAGGUGCGAAAGCGUGGGUAGCAAACAGGAUUAGAAACCCUAGUAGUCC